AGGACGUAUUGGACCUGUUCCGAGCAGGUUAAUUUGUGGGAUUGAAACCAUGAAGGAACCAAGCCGUCAAAUGGAGUUUCUGGAGCUGCGGAUGGAGAAGCCGACUGCAGUUCUGGGAGAGCAGAUCUGGCCUGUCGGGGAGAGUCCUGGAAGGAUGGAUGGACAUGAGUAGCAGUAACCAGGGAAGAGAUGAGCACUGCCCCGAGUCCUGUCUUCAGCCGAGGAUGAUUGAGAAGGAACUUGGGGGAUGCGGGACGCGUGCACUCAAGGCAGACUCUAAUGAUGCUGCGAGACAACAGCUGAGCGCGUGCGUCCCAACCAGGCACUGCUACCGAAAAUCUCCAAUCAACGGUGCUGGGACGCACUGUCACCUAGAGUGGAGCACCCACAGGGACAGCACUCGAAGAAGAAUGAAACAUUUCAUUUGACCCUAUUUUGUUUGUUUGUUUUUUGGCUUAGCCAGUGAAGCAAAAAAAUCCAUUAUUUGCCCCGUUCUAGUUACAUGAUAAAUGAAGCUCCACUACAAGCGCUUAGUGGAGCGGACCACAUUUGUCUGCAUGCAUUUAAGGUAGAGUUUAAGCCCUGAAAUGAUAACAUACUGUUUGAUGGUAGUGGAUGACUACAUAGAUAUGUAGAUUCAGAAAGGAGAUUCAAAAAAAUCUUGAUGUUACCAGUACUGUGUAAGCAAACCAUGAAUGCCCUUUGUUUCAAGAAGGCACUUUUCUUAUUCUGUUAAUUUUAAACUGUUUAUAUUUUACAUCACAAGAUAAAUCUAGGAACCGUUUUACUCACCUUAUCUUUGCCCCUAGAGCAUCCUACAUGGAAGGAAAAACAGCAGCAAAGUGAACUUUAUGUAUCUGGAGAAGAACUCUGUGGUUCUUGAACUUUGACCCAGGAAUUGAAGCAUGAUGGGAAAUGUAGUGCAUUAUUUUAGCAAUCUGUUGAAGUACCUAGGGAUUCCCCCUUAGGUCAGAGGCAUCCUCAGGAAGCCAGUCAUGCUAGUUUCUGCUAAAACAAUCACCAAUGAAAAAGACAAUGGCAUUUUAAACUGUCAUCUGUAGGUUUCAGGGUUAAUGGCCCACUAAGAUAAAAGAGUACAAUUAAGACUUACGGUUAAUAUUUCUGGCUAUGUGCAGACUUCGGACGAUAUUGCUGUGUUAUUUACAUCCAGAUCACAUUGGGCAGGUUCUCUUCGUAAUCAUAAGGACUUGAAACUCUUUUUUAAAAGAAAGCUACAAUUCUGGAGCACAGUUCUGCAGCUCUUGUGGGCCAACUUCACAGUCACAAAAGGGAUUACAUUUAUGGUAAUUUGUGCCCUAUUGCGGGAGAAAUUUACAGACAAACUGCAAACUUUGUCUUCCAAACUUUGUUGUCAUGAAAUGUUAGAUCCAUGGUGAUCUUGACAAUCCAUUACAUUUAUUCGAGUUUUAAAGAAUUUUAAUACAAUUUGUAUUUUUCCAUACUAUUGACAGUGGUUCCUGGCAUUCACAGAUGAAAAGUAUAACUCUGUUAACCAAGAUUGUCAAAGUCUGUUAGCUAACAUAUUUCAGUCUGGUUGCUAAAGCACUUGGCAUUAACAUUCAAAAGUAGGAUGUUCACAUUCUGUUGGGAGCUGUUUAGUUUUAUCACAUAUUUUUUUCCUCAGGGUCCAAUGUGAUAUAUAUUAUUAAAACAACCACAAUAGAAAAGUUAGCCACUAAAGUUGCCAUAUUAAAUUGUCAAAUAAAACAAUUCCCUGUAUUGAUAAUUUAUGUUCCCUCAUUAGCUCAUAGCUCCUGUAUGAAGUUGAAGGGUCUGAGUGCUAAACAGGCCUUGGGUAAUAUGACCCUUUUAGGAAGCAACCUCUUGCUAAUGUCUGCUCUGUUUUAAAGGUGGAACAUUCAAAGCCACCUACAGGGGCUGGGUUGACCAUUCCUAUUACAAAUCUAUUGAAGCUGGGUGUCCAAAUCCACUAGGCAUUUUCUUUGAAAAUCUCACCCCAUGUGUUUAUUUAGAUGAAUUUCCCACAGCUCACAUUGGCCAGGAACAGCAAACUGCAGCCAUUGGGAGCUGUGGGCGGCUGUGCAAAUGUAAAUGAUCUGGCGGCUAGCCCUGACAGGCUGCAUGCAGCCCGCAGGCCGCAGGUUGCCCACCACUGCUCUGUGUGGACCUGCACUGGAGAGGGAUGACACACAAUUCACCUGAAGGUUUCACAGAUAUUUAUUGAUUUCAGAGGUAUGGUGAGAUUCAGAAAUCCUGGGUUCCAUUUCAGUCUCUAAAGGAGUGUGUCCUCUAGUGCAGUGGUUCUCAACCAGGAGUCUGGGGCCCCUUGUGGGGCCAUGAGCAGGUUUCAGGAGGGUCACCAAGAAUUCUAGUCUCUAGGGCCCAGGGCAGAAAUCCAAAGCCCCACCUCGCGGGACUACAGACCGGGGCUCUGACCCCCACCACCCAGGGCUGAAGCCAAAGCCUGAGCAACUUAGCUUCAUGGUGCCUCCUGUGGUGUGGGGCCCCAGGCAAUUGCCCUGCUUGCUACUCCCUAAUGCCGGCCCUGGCUUUUAUAUACAGAAAAACAGUUGUGGCACAGGUGAGCCGUGGAGUUUUUAUUGCAUGUUGGGGGAGCCUCAGAGUUUGAGAGCCCCUGCUCUAGUGGAUAGAUUCUUUAGUCCAUUCCCUCCUCCCAAACUUGACCCCCAUUUGCCACUCCAACCUGUCCUAGUCCUGUCUCUUCCCCAGCAUAGCUACUUGCCCAGUCCGAGUUUAUGUUCCUCAGGCUUCUCAGCCUAGUCCCCAUCUCUUCACCCAGUCAGUUCUAGACUCCCCCAAGAGGCUCGCUGAAUCCCAAUCCCCUACCCACUCCCAGUUCCUUUCCCCUCCUACACCUAGUCCCAAUCUCUCCCACUCCACAGCUCUUUGUCCGAUCUCAGUGUUCCUCCCCAGACAACUGACUUCUGGUCCUCCCACCCCAUUUCUCCCACCAUCUCCCAGUCUCAGACCCCCUCCAAUCUGGUUCACAGUCUCCUUGCCCAACCAGUUCCAGUCUCCUCUCCCUCUUCAGAUUCCCAAUCCAGCCUCCUCUCUCGUCUCCACCCCAAGAGCUGCAGGAAAGCUGACAGGUGUGGAGGAUCCCACAGUUCAGAGACAUCCCUUAGGGGAAGAUCUAUUAAUAGGGAUUUGGUAUGUUCUAGUAAAGAGAAGCGGAUAGAAGUUGAUAAACUACAGGUAGGCGCUGAAGAGAAACAGUCUUGUUUAUACUUUGGUUAUGUGGUUAUGGAGAAAUUCUUGAUCAUAAAAGUGUCUAUACUAGGAUAAAAGGUAAAUUUUAUCCUACCGUGGAUAUGCCCCAUAAAGGCUAGAAACCGUUUUUUAAUGGACUCUUAGACUCUGCUGUAAUCUGACCCUGUUAAGAAGGAGAUCCAUAUAUUGGCAUUUGUAUUUGACUGACCAAGGUAUCUGGCAUAAAAAAGGAAACAAACUG